rnacentral:rRNA from 1 species
GCAGUCGAACGGGAUCCCUGGCAGCUUGCUGCCGGGGUGAGAGUGGCGAACGGGUGAGUAAUGCGUGACCGACCUGCCCCAUGCACCGGAAUAGCUCCUGGAAACGGGUGGUAAUGCCGGAUGUUCCACAUGAGCGCAUGCGAGUGUGGGAAAGGCUUUUUGCGGCAUGGGAUGGGGUCGCGUCCUAUCAGCUUGUUGGUGGGGUAACGGCCUACCAAGGCGUUGACGGGUAGCCGGCCUGAGAGGGCGACCGGCCACAUUGGGACUGAGAUACGGCCCAGACUCCUACGGGAGGCAGCAGUGGGGAAUAUUGCACAAUGGGCGCAAGCCUGAUGCAGCGACGCCGCGUGCGGGAUGGAGGCCUUCGGGUUGUAAACCGCUUUUGUUCAAGGGCAAGGCACGGUCUUUGGCCGUGUUGAGUGGAUUGUUCGAAUAAGCACCGGCUAACUACGUGCCAGCAGCCGCGGUAAUACGUAGGGUGCAAGCGUUAUCCGGAUUUAUUGGGCGUAAAGGGCUCGUAGGCGGUUCGUCGCGUCCGGUGUGAAAGUCCAUCGCUUAACGGUGGAUCCGCGCCGGGUACGGGCGGGCUUGAGUGCGGUAGGGGAGACUGGAAUUCCCGGUGUAACGGUGGAAUGUGUAGAUAUCGGGAAGAACACCAAUGGCGAAGGCAGGUCUCUGGGCCGUUACUGACGCUGAGGAGCGAAAGCGUGGGGAGCGAACAGGAUUAGAUACCCUGGUAGUCCACGCCGUAAACGGUGGAUGCUGGAUGUGGGGCCCUUUUUCCGGGUCCUGUGUCGGAGCUAACGCGUUAAGCAUCCCGCCUGGGGAGUACGGCCGCAAGGCUAAAACUCAAAGAAAUUGACGGGGGCC